AGGAAAUUUGGACGUGGGACCGCUUACUCUCUGUAGAUGAUUCAUAUCUUAUAUCCUAGUUUGAAGUGGUUCACCACACUGUGGCCACAACUUCAAAAGUGUCAGAUGAUCAUCAGACAACACUCCUGCCUAGCAAAGAAAUGCAAACAUCCUUGCCACCAAGACUAGGUGGGGUAGCACUGAAGGAAUUAUUUCAUCAACUCCUGAAAUGCAAAACCCGUGGCAAAAGAGAAAAGACAGUCUUGUGAUUGCACCUCUGACCUAAAGGACAAGCUUUCUCCAAGUAUGAUUUCAUUCAGGUAGUGAGAGGAAGAGCUGGAUUAAGAAACAAAAAGAUUGGCCUUAGGCAAGCAGCUCUAAAUUAAGACUGGAUGGGAUUGGAAGGAGCUGAGGGUAUCAACCUCUUAUGUCCUGUAGCGCAAGAAUAUGGAGAAUGGAAAAAUGAACAUGCGAUGUACAAACCAGGCCAACGUUGUAAAGGUGUCACCACAGCCACCUAGGCUGGAACCUGUUGUCAUUUGGUCUAAUACUAAAGGUUCAUAAAGCAAGCCUUUCACAAAACUGAACUGUUUAUGACAGAUAUUGUCUGUGCAACUCAAAUGCCGCUGAUAGGACUUCCUUUCGUGAACUUCUCUGAUGCAUUUCAUCUCCUCAAGGCUAAUGAGAAUAGCCAUUACAAGUGUUCAGAACUGUCCUUGACCUAUGGCAAUGCCCACAUCUCAUAUGGUUUCAAUCUUCUUUGCACGUGGAUAUUCCCAGAAGAUUUUUGAAGUUGUUUUUUAACUUUUCAUUUAUCGUUCUUGGGGAAAUACGAAAGAAAUUGUGUGUAUGGUCUUUUCUUUUAUUACUUCUUAAAUAUUUUUCAUAUGUCCUUAACCUUGCACCUCAGCAGCAGACUAAACAUCAACUCAGUCACUAUUUAAUGCUGUUCUCAGAGAUGGGCUAAGAGGUAGAAUGAGCAGAUGUCCUAGUCAGACUGAAAAGUUGUUUGGUAUCUUGUUUCAUUUGCGAUGCUUCAGCAUGAGACAGGCGGAUUUCCAUUUUAAAUGUCCUUGCAAACGUUGUUGGUAAAUUCUAACAGUAAUAAAUAUGAUUAUUCUUCUUGAGUCUUAAA